rnacentral:lncRNA from 1 species
AUGAGAAACAUAUCGACGAUCAUUAACCUCCCACACACUAUCCAUCCCUACUUUUCUCCCUUCCUCCCUUCAUCCCGCAACAUACUUUCUGUCCUAUGUGUUGCAUCCAGGGUGGAGGAGCAGAAAUGGGUUUGGGGGAGCUUCAUGAAGAUGGAUUCACAGACGGGGAUGCUUCCAGCCUACGAUGAGAAGACUGUGCUUUCACUUUGGGGGGCCCUCAGCUUCCCUCUCGGCUGAUCAGGGAGCUUUCAAGACUCCGCCGGCGACCACGCAUCUCCCGACGACUCUGUUCUCCUCAGACGGAGCGAGCAAGACGGACAGAGACAGGCAGAAAGAUAGCAUCGUUCGCCAUGAGGACCCGCCGUCACAUAAACACACUUUCACACACACUUGAGGAUAAGGACAGAUCACAUGGAGGCUCUUUUAUGAGGAUUUUAUCAAUGGUUUUAUAUUUAUUAAGCCUGUUGAAGGAAGUCUUCAAUCUUUCACUUUAAUUGUAAUUAAUUGUACAUAUUUGUAUAUAUUAUGGUUCCUGUUAUAUUAUUAUCACCCUUUUGACCAUUUGCACUAUUACUUGUUCUUUAUUUGCACUCCCCUGUGUGUUCUAUGAGCCUCUCGCACCUGUAAAUUUCUCCACUGUGAGAUUAAUAAAAGUCUAUUCUAUUCUAUUCUAUUCUAUUCUAUUCCAA